GGCCGCCUGGCGUAAUGGCAACGCGUCUGACUUCGAUUGUCAACGUAGUUCAUCAGAAGAUUGUAGGUUCAAGUCCUGCGGUGGUCG
rfam:Sphaerobolus stellatus SS14 unplaced genomic scaffold SPHSTscaffold_101, whole genome shotgun sequence.